GACAUCAGGAGGUUAGUGCAAUGGCAUAAGCCAGCUUGACUGCGAGCGUGACGGCGCGAGCAGGUGCGAAAGCAGGUCAUAGUGAUCCGGUGGUUCUGAAUGGAAGGGCCAUCGCUCAACGGAUAAAAGGUACUCCGGGGAUAACAGGCUGAUACCGCCCAAGAGUUCAUAUCGACGGCGGUGUUUGGCACCUCGAUGUCGGCUCAUCACAUCCUGGGGCUGAAGUAGGUCCCAAGGGUAUGGCUGUUCGCCAUUUAAAGUGGUACGCGAGCUGGGUUUAGAACGUCGUGAGACAGUUCGGUCCCUAUCUGCCGUGGGCGCUGGAGAACUGAGGGGGGCUGCUCCUAGUACGAGAGGACCGGAGUGGACGCAUCACUGGUGUUCGGGUUGUCAUGCCAAUGGCACUGCCCGGUAGCUAAAUGCGGAAGAGAUAAGUGCUGAAAGCAUCUAAGCACGAAACUUGCCCCGAGAUGAGUUCUCCCUGACUCCUUGAGAGUCCUGAAGGAACGUUGAAGACGACGACGUUGAUAGGCCGGGUGUGUAAGCGCAGCGAUGCGUUGAGCUAACCGGUACUAAUGAACCGUGAGG
rnacentral:rRNA from 1 species